rnacentral:rRNA from 1 species
CAGCAGCCGCGGUAAUACGUAGGUGGCAAGCGUUGUCCGGAAUUAUUGGGCGUAAAGCGCGCGCAGGUGGUUUAAUAAGUCUGAUGUGAAAGCCCACGGCUCAACCGUGGAGGGUCAUUGGAAACUGUUAAACUUGAGUGCAGGAGAGGAAAGUGGAAUUCCUAGUGUAGCGGUGAAAUGCGUAGAGAUUAGGAGGAACACCAGUGGCGAAGGCGGCUUUUUGGCCUGUAACUGACACUGAGGCGCGAAAGCGUGGGGAGCAAACAGGAUUAGAUACCCCUGUAGUCCCUGUCUUUAUACA